rnacentral:rRNA from 1 species
UACGGGGGGAGCAAGCGUUAUCCGGAAUCAUUGGGCGUAAAGCGUACCGAUAGGUGGUCAUACAAGUCAGAAGUGAAAUCUCAAAGCUUAACUUUGAGUCUGUCUUUUGAAACUGUAUGACUAGAGGGGCAAAGAGGAAGCUGGAACGAACGGUGUAGUAGUGAAAUGCGUUGAUAUCGUUCGGAACACCAAUAGCGUAGGCAGGCUUCUGGGUGCCACCUGACACUGCUAGGACGAAAGCGUGGGGAGCGAAUGGG